GCGCACGCUGGCGGCAGGCCUAACACAUGCAAGUCGAACGGAUCCUUCGGGAUUAGUGGCGGACGGGUGAGUAACACGUGGGAACGUGCCCUUUGGUUCGGAACAACUCAGGGAAACUUGAGCUAAUACCGGAUGUGCCCUUCGGGGGAAAGAUUUAUCGCCAUUGGAGCGGCCCGCGUCUGAUUAGCUAGUUGGUGAGGUAACGGCCCACCAAGGCGACGAUCAGUAGCUGGUCUGAGAGGAUGAUCAGCCACACUGGGACUGAGACACGGCCCAGACUCCUACGGGAGGCAGCAGUGGGGAAUCUUGCGCAAUGGGCGAAAGCCUGACGCAGCCAUGCCGCGUGAAUGAUGAAGGUCUUAGGAUUGUAAAAUUCUUUCAGCGGGGACGAUAAUGACGGUACCCGCAGAAGAAGCUCCGGCUAACUUCGUG
rnacentral:rRNA from 1 species